rnacentral:rRNA from 1 species
GAUGAACGCUGGCGGCGUGCCUAACACAUGCAAGUCGAACGAAGCUUGACGGAUGAUUUCUUCGGAAUGAAACCAGAUAUGACUUAGUGGCGGACGGGUGAGUAACACGUGAGCAACCUGCCUUUCAGGGGGGGAUAACGGCUGGAAACGGUCGCUAAUACCGCAUGAUGUGUUCGGAUGGCAUCAUCUGAACAUCAAAGAUUUAUCGCUGAAAGAUGGGCUCGCGUCUGAUUAGAUAGUUGGUGGGGUAACGGCCUACCAAGUCUACGAUCAGUAGCCGGACUGAGAGGUUGAACGGCCACAUUGGGACUGGGAUGCGGCCCAGACUCCUACGGGAGGCAGCAGUGGGGAAUAUUGCACAAUGGGGGAAACCCUGAUGCAGCACCGCCGCGUGAAGGAUGACGGUUUUCGGAUUGUAAACUUCUUUUCUUAGUGACGAAGACAGUGACGGUAGCUAAGGAAUAAGCAUCGGCUAACUACGUG